rnacentral:pre_miRNA from 1 species
UUUAAACGUAGCCAUGAGUUUUCAUGUCCAAUUUUGAUCGUCCGUUUUAUUUGAAAUUUUUUUUGUAAUUAGUUUUUUUUAUUGUUAUUAGAUGAUAAAACUUAUGUUUUUAUUUUUUUUUAAUUUUUAAAUAAAACGAAUGAUUAAAGCUAGACAUGGAAAGGUUGUGAUUAAA